rnacentral:lncRNA from 1 species
CAACCGAGCGCUAGAGCCUACGCACGCGCUCCUGCUCGCGUCCCGGCUCAGCAUCGGGAGCGCGCUCUGUGUGGCCGCUGCCGCCAUGUUGUUGUGGUUGUGAGAAGGCGGUGGCAGGCGGCGGCGGCAGCGGUGCAGCCGGACUAGACGCUCCUGCGGCCCAGGCGCUGCCCCCCCGCCAGCCCUGGCUGGGAGCCUCGUGGGGGUGGCGGAGGAGGCCGUGCCGUGCCGAGCCUCGCCUCGCCAUGUCUUGCUCCCUGAUUUCCUUGUGAAACCUUCUGAUAGAAAAAGUUUUCAGUACAAACUUCAUUUGAUCUCAGCAUAAGAGAAAGAAGAGCUUUGCCAGACACUGAAGAAGGGACGGGGAUCUCUCGUCCUAAUCUGGGCCUCCUGUCAUGGUAAGUAUAAGGAAAUAAGAAAAUUGGAGUUGAACUCAAUUCUAAAAAUUUAGCUGAACACUAAUC